rnacentral:rRNA from 1 species
GAUCAAGUUAUAGCAGCACAUAGAGGAUACCUUGGCACUGCAAGUCGAUGAAGGACGCGAUUGGCCGCGAUAUUCCCCGGGGAACUGUCUAAAUAGUUUUGAUCCGGGGGUCUCCGAAUGGGCAAACCCAUACUGGUUAAUUCCAGUAUAUCCUGACGUAAGUCAGGGUGACAACCCGCUGUACUGAAACAUCUUAGUAAGCGGAGGAAGAGAAAGU